GAAGCAGGGUGAUGUGUGAAGUGUCCAGAGGACAGGCUGGGGAGCAUGUGGGGUCCCUCGAGCCCCUGGAGCACCAGGCCAACUCUGAACAAGAGGGGGCAGCCUCCUGAAGGGUCAGGAGCAGCGGGGUGGGAACAGCAGCAAGCCAUGAAAGUUUUCAAAGCCACCGUCCUCUCAUCCUCAGCUAGCACAGAACUUCACAGGAGCAAACAGCAGCCAAAUACACCCAAGAAGUCACGUGGAGACAUCUAUGAGCUUCCGUCCAGUCCACCCAGCCCAUAAGAGUACCUACAACCGAUGUCUUCAUCAGCUACAGCACCAUGCACAAACCUCUGCCCAGAGACCAGAAUACCACCAGGACAUGAUGCUCUUGGACCUCAUGGAAAGCAAUCUCAUCCAGUGGUACAGUUAAAGGGAGAAAAAGACUGUGGUCUAACAUUCAAGAAUCAUGCUGGGCCCCUGCCUCUGGGACACACAGACUGGGACUCUCUUGGGAUUCUCAAGAAGCAGGUGGCAAGACAAAGGAGGAGGCUUUCUGAGUCUUCCAUGAUUGCUGGAUGGACCAGCUUUGGGGACACAGUUGGCUGGAGACCCUUGUCAGGAGCCAGAGACCCCAGCCAUGCCUGUGUCAUCCUCCUCCUUUCCAACUGUCUUUUCCCUCUGCUAAGGUAAUAUUCUUAAUUGUUCAUUUUCCAGGAUGGAAACUUUAAUAUCUUCAUUUAAUCCUUCCAUGACUGGUAGGAGGAGGCUGAGUGGGCUUGGAGACCCAAAUCUGCACCCUCUGGGAUGGCAUGAGGAGCUUUCUGAAGAAAGAGACAGGGGCAGGUGAGUGGCCAUGGGCCCCUGACACCUGGGUCCCACUUCUGGUCUCUCUUCUAUCAGGACUGUCGAACACUCCCAUUCUCCCCUCUUUUACUGAGUCUAGAAAGUUGAAAACAGAAACAACACAUUGAUUUCCUCUGAUGCUAUUUCCAGGCUUCAUUUAAAUCAUAC
rnacentral:lncRNA from 1 species